rnacentral:rRNA from 1 species
UACGUAUGGACCAAGCGUUGUUCGGAUUUACUGGGCGUAAAGGGCGCGUAGGCGGCGCGACAAGUCACUUGUGAAAUCUCCGGGCUUAACUCGGAACGGUCAAGUGAAACUGUCAUGCUAGAGUGCAGAAGGGGCAAUCGGAAUUCUUGGUGUAGCGGUGAAAUGCGUAGAUAUCAAGAGGAACACCUGAGGUGAAGACGGGUUGCUGGGCUGACACUGACGCUGAGGCGCGAAAGCCAGGGGAGCAAACGGG